rnacentral:rRNA from 1 species
GACGAACGCUGGCGGCGUGCCUAAUACAUGCAAGUCGAACGAGAGCGACCGGUGCUUGCACUGGUCAAUCUAGUGGCGAACGGGUGAGUAACACGUGGGUAACCUGCCCAUCAGAGGGGGAUAACAUCCGGAAACGGAUGCUAAAACCGCAUAGGUCUUCGAGCCGCAUGGCUUGAAGAGGAAAAGAGGCGCAAGCUUCUGCUGAUGGAUGGACCCGCGGUGCAUUAGCUAGUUGGUGAGGUAACGGCUCACCAAGGCCGUGAUGCAUAGCCGACCUGAGAGGGUGAUCGGCCACAUUGGGACUGAGAAACGGCCCAAACUCCUACGGGAGGCAGCAGUAGGGAAUCUUCCGCAAUGGACGCAAGUCUGACGGAGCAACGCCGCGUGAGUGAAGAAGGUUUUCGGAUCGUAAAACUCUGUUGUUAGAGAAGAACAAGUGCUAGAGUAACUGUUAGCGCCUUGACGGUAUCUAACCAGAAAGCCACGGCUAACUACGUG